AACGAACGCUGGCGGCAUGCCUAACACAUGCAAGUCGAACGAGACCUUCGGGUCUAGUGGCGCACGGGUGCGUAACGCGUGGGAACCUGCCCUUAGGUUCGGAAUAACUCCCCGAAAGGGGUGCUAAUACCGGAUAAUGUCUUCGGACCAAAGAUUUAUCGCCUUUGGAUGGGCCCGCGUUGGAUUAGCUAGUUGGUAGGGUAAAAGCCUACCAAGGCGACGAUCCAUAGCUGGUCUGAGAGGAUGAUCAGCCACACCGGGACUGAGACACGGCCCAGACUCCUACGGGAGGCAGCAGUGGGGAAUAUUGGACAAUGGGCGAAAGCCUGAUCCAGCAAUGCCGCGUGAGUGAUGAAGGCCGUAGGGUUGUAAAGCUCUUUUACCCGGGAUGAUAAUGACAGUACCGGGAGAAUAAGCUCCGGCUAACUCCGUG
rnacentral:rRNA from 1 species